UUGAAUUGAAGAGUUUGAUCAUGGCUCAGAUUGAACGCUGGCGGCAGGCUUAACACAUGCAAGUCGAACGGUAACGGGAAGGAAGCUUGCUUUCUUUGCUGACGAGUGGCGGACGGG
rnacentral:rRNA from 1 species